AGCAAAGAUGUUUGAGACUUUAUUUUUCCGAGUCCACACACACCUAAGCAAUUAAGGAGCAAAAGAGCGAGACACAAAGAGGGAUAUUCGUCGCCUGGCAAAUUGCCCGCUGUGCAAAUUGCCCGGGCGAGUGCGAAAGAGACGGGCAACUCAAUCGAAGACACUGCAACAAUUCGAAUUUAAUUGAUGCCAGUCGGCGGCGGCAGCAACAAAAAUCGAAGAGUGUGCGUGCGCUGGCAUUUAUGAGCCGCGCUUCGCCGAAAAGAAAGGCUCCUUUUGCCACCUGGCGAUACGGACAAUAACUGAGCCGUUGAUUGGCACUGAGACCAGGUGCAAAAGCUUCAUUUUCCUCCCUCGGAUUUCCACCUGCCAUCACACUUGAAUCCAGUUAUUAGCCUCCGUCGCCGGCCGUUGAACUUGUUCGCAGUGGGCAACAAGUGGAGGCGAACUUUCCGCGAAAAGUGUGCGAAAAUCCUUCAAAAGUGCAGCGCUCUGCUGCAAUUGUCCCUGACCACAGGCCGAAUGGGUCAGACGAAGGGGUGGUGUGGGUCAGCGAACAUUGGGACAUGGGAGAGACAAGGACAGCACACGGGCGGAAAAGAUAGCCGGUCGAGUUGAUAAAUUGCGUGCACAACACAGAGACAAAGAAUGCCAGCUUACGGACACCCACACAGAAACGGACACCUCGCUUAUUAGGCACAGUCUGAGUCAUAACAAUAAGGUUUACAAAAGCAAAUGAUAUUUAUCGUAAAACGUAUUUAUUUUUACAUUCCAAUUUCAAUGAGUUGUUUUAAUGAAAAAGAUGCACAUAUCAUAUAUAA
rnacentral:sRNA from 13 species